rnacentral:rRNA from 1 species
CUUUAAGUCUCCUGAAGGAACGUUGAAGACGACGACGUUGAUAGGCCGGGUGUGUAAGCGCAGCGAUGCGUUGAGCUAACCGGUACUAAUGAACCGUGAGGCUUAACCUUACAACGCCGAAG